rnacentral:rRNA from 1 species
GUGAGUAGUUCAGAGUUUUGAUCCUGGCUCAGGAUGAACGCUGGCGGCGUGCUUAACACAUGCAAGUCGAACGAGCUUUGAUUUUCCGAUUCUUCGGAUAAAGAGUUUCAAAGUGAGUGGCGGACGGGUGAGUAACGCGUGAGAAACCUGCCUCAUUCCGGGGGAUACCAGUUGGAAACGACUGUUAAUACCGCAUAAGCGCACAGGGCCGCAUGGCCUGGUGUGAAAAACUCCGGUGGAAUGAGAUGGUCUCGCGUCUGAUUAGCUGGUUGGCGGGGCAGCGGCCCACCAAGGCGACGAUCAGUAGCCGGCCUGAGAGGGUGAACGGCCACAUUGGGACUGAGACACGGCCCAG